UAGUUCCUCCUUUCUCAAGAAAACGAAAGUAUUUUCUGAACUGUCGCGAUUACGCGCCUUUAAAAUAUUUCACGGAGGGGGAGCCAGAGAGCAGAAAUUCCAGCACUCAGUUGUGUGUCUGUGAAGAGUGAUGGAGCCUCCUCUUGUAUUCAGCAGUGGACCUGUGACCUCAGUCCUACAGAGGGGGAGUGAGAGAGCAGCAAAUCCAG